rnacentral:rRNA from 1 species
CCUAGGCCAUGCUACCAUAAACAAGCCCGAUCUCAUCUGAUCUCAGAAGCUAAGCAGGGUAGAGCCUGGUUAGUACUUGGAUGGGAGACCACCUAGGAAGACCAGGUACUACUAUAGGC